rnacentral:rRNA from 1 species
GACGUAGGGCGCGAGCGUUGUCCGGAUUUAUUGGGCGUAAAGAGCUCGUAGGCGGCUUGUCGCGUCGACUGUGAAAACCCGCGGCUCAACCGCGGGCCUGCAGCCGAUACGGGCAGGCUAGAGUUCGGUAGGGGAGACUGGAAUUCCUGGUGUAGCGGUGAAAUGCGCAGAUAUCAGGGGGAACACCGAUGGCGAAGGCAGGUCUCUGGGCUAACACUGACGCUCAUGCACGAAAGCGUGGGGAGCAAACAGG